GCUAAGAAAAGGAAGAAGAAGUCUUAUACCUCUCCCAAGAAGAAUAAGCAUAAGAGGAAGAAGGUUAAGUUGGCUGUGCUGAAACACUAUAAGGUGGAUGAAAAUGGCAAAAUUAGCGAGAGUGUCCUUCUGACGAAUGUGGUGCUGGAGUUUUUAUGGGAAGCCACUUUGACAGGCAUUACUGUGGCAAGUGUUGUUUGACUUAUUGCUUCAACAAACCAGAAGACAAGUAG
rnacentral:lncRNA from 1 species